rnacentral:rRNA from 1 species
GACAGAGGCCUCGAGCGUUAGGCGGAAUCACUGGGCUUAAAGCGUGUGUAGGCGGACCCCUAAGUGUCUUGUGAAAUCCCACGGCUCACCCGUGGAACCGCUGGGCAUACUGGGGGUCUUGGGCCAUUCAGGGGCGACUGGAACAAGCGGUGGAGCGGUGAAAUGCGUAGAUAUCAUUUGGAACGCCAAUGGUGAAAACAGGUAGCUGGGAGUGUGCUGACGCUGAGACACGAAAGCCAGGGGAGCGAACGGG